GUGUCACUUCUCCACGGCUUCAUGUUUUGCCGCCUUAUCUUAGGAAUAUAUAGCGCAGUCUGCAUGAAAAGAGCUUUGUGUGAGAAUUCCUGGCCAGUUGAAGGGUCAGGGCCUGUGCGUUAUCUGACUGCCAGCAAGAUCACUGGUGUGUCCUCUUAUUUUUAACUUAAAAUAGGAAAAAAAAAAGUGCAUCUUUACAUAUUAAAAAAUCUUCAGGAAUUUUACUGGGAUAAUUAUCCAAAUAAAUUGCAAGCAUUCUAUCCAAAUGGAGCUCUUUCUGAGAUGAAGAGAAUUCUCAAUGUCAAGAUUUGAACAAGAAGAGAAUGGAAUACACAAUAUGGACAUCCAUAAAAAUUCAUCAGAGAGCAUUUUACUACUGAGCUGCAAAGACUCUGUUUCAAAAAAAAAGAAAAGUAAUCAAGUAGAACUGUUAAAUCUUACACAGAUUUUAUAAGAUGCCACUAUAUGCCUUGCUAUUAUGCCUGGAGUAAAUUAUAAUCAAUUCUCCUGAUGGAUGAGACACAAAUAAUAUAAACACAUGGGUUUGAUAUAUAAUGGAAAUUAUUUUAAAUUGAAUUUUAGUGAUUUUUUGUGGUAUUUAUGUUCAAAAAGCAUACCGACAAGUCAAGCAUUUCAGAAAAAUGUUUAUAAAUGUAUGAAAAAGUUGUUUGUGUGGUGCUGAACUUGGAUAUAUAUUACUGCAUAUCAAUGUGAAAACAUUGUGUCAGCUUCAAAGCAUUGUGCAUAUGGAAGACAUUAUUGCUAUUGUUAAUACUGUAAUAGAAUUGCCUCUGCGGAUUAAAAAUGUAGAUGUUUAUGUACAAAAUAGCAGCAAUAAGUAAAAGAAGAAAUUAUUUAUAUGGAUUCUAUUAAAUAAAAAGGGAGUACUGUUUUCA
rnacentral:lncRNA from 1 species